rnacentral:rRNA from 1 species
UACGGGGGGGGGCAAGCGUUGUUCGGAAUUACUGGGCGUAAAGGGCUCGUAGGUGGCCAACUAAGUCAGACGUGAAAUCCCUCGGCUUAACCGGGGAACUGCAUCUGAUACUGGAUGGCUUGAGAUUGGGAGAGGGAUGCGGAAUUCCAGGUGUAGCGGUGAAAUGCGUAGAUAUCUGGAGGAACACCGGUGGCGAAGGCGGCAUCCUGGACCAACACUGACGCUGAGGAGCGAAAGCCAGGGGAGCAAACGGGG